UACGUAGGUGGCAAGCGUUGUCCGGAUUUACUGGGUGUAAAGGGCGUGUAGCCGGGCUGACAAGUCAGAUGUGAAAUCCGGGGGCUCAACCCCCGAACUGCAUUUGAAACUGUUGGUCUUGAGUAUCGGAGAGGCAGGCGGAAUUCCUAGUGUAGCGGUGAAAUGCGUAGAUAUUAGGAGGAGCACCAGUGGCGAAGGCGGCCUGCUGGACGACAACUGACGGUGAGGCGCGAAAGCGUGGGGAGCAAACAGG
rnacentral:rRNA from 1 species